GAAACGCACCAGGGGUGUCUGUAUCUGCUCCAGCCCUGGCUCCCUCGGCCAGGAUGCUGGCUGAAACAGGCUGAGAAAGUCCCUUCGAACCUGAACAGGAUAAUGCCUGCGUAGGGAGCGUGCAUUUCCUUUUCU
rnacentral:ncRNA from 2 species